rnacentral:rRNA from 1 species
GGAAUAUUGGUCAAUGGACGCAAGUCUGAACCAGCCAUGCCGCGUGCAGGAUGACGGCUCUAUGAUUUGUAAACUGCUUUUGUACGAGGGUAAACCCCGAUACGUGUAUUGGGUUGAAAGUAUCGUUCGAAUAAGGAUCGGCUAACUCCGUGCCAGCAGCCGCGGUAAUACGGAGGAUGCGAGCGUUAUCCGGAUUUAUUGGGUUUAAAGGGUGCGUAGGCGGGCUUUUAAGUCAGCGGUAAAAAUUCGGGGCUCAACCCCGUCCGGCCGUUGAAACUGGGGGCCUUGAGUGGGCGAGAAGAAGGCGGAAUGCGUGGUGUAGCGGUGAAAUGCAUAGAUAUCACGCAGAACCCCGAUUGCGAAGGCAGCCUUCCGGCGCCCUACUGACGCUGAGGCACGAAAGUGCGGGGAUCGAACAGG